rnacentral:lncRNA from 1 species
CAUUUGAAACGAAGGUCCAGAAAGCGAUGGUGAUCCCGGGGCCGGGUACCCCUCCGCCGGCGGCACGGCGCGCUCCGGGCCGCAUCUCCUCUCCGUAGGGCGUGACACUUCCAUGCCUCCACAAUCUGUUCAACCUGUAGGGGAAAGCGGGUCACCACGCAGACCGAAGUCCCAAGCCUCCCGCCCUUGCUCCUCGUUCCCACGUGGCAGAGUGGAUCUGAGUUUGGUUACUGGCGUCCGCACCGGGAUGAGCGGUUCCCGUCGGUUCUGCUCUUCCAGGGCGCUUAGCUCCGCCGGGGCAAGCAAAGCCAGUCUCAGCUCUCGGACCACUGGAGCUGCCACCUCAGCCACGGGUUGCUCUAACACCGCCUGUGGAAGCGAGCCUUGAGCACGUGCCUGCUGCCCGCUUACAGAGUUCCCGUGGCCUGCACCGUUUCGGUGUCCUCGCCCUCCCCCCAGGUCCCACUCACGGCGCCCACGCGUGCCCAGCUUCGGGCUGCCUGGACUAGCUCAGUCUCAUCCACGCAGAGCUUGUCACUGCGUAGCACAGGCAGCAGCGCGGUGGCGGACAGCUCCAGAAAGCCACGGGUGCGGAGCGCCUCCUAUGGGCCGGUGUGUCGGUCAGGGCAGAGAAAAAAUGGCAUGGGGGGGCUACAAGUUACAAGUAUAAGGAUGGGGAGUUGUACCUGGCUGUGAGCUUCUAUAAAGGCUAUGCACCGCUCCUGUAGUGACCCCAGGCCAAAGGUUACAGCAACCUGAGAGCAGAGUAUGAUUAGGCUAGAGACUGAAGAAGCUGGAUAACCCAGAUUUGCACACAAGGUACUGCCACUGAGCACAAUCUAAACAGAAGGCUAGCAGCACCUGCAGUGUCUCCUGAAAGUAGGCAAAGUGCCUUGUGCAGAGCACACAGGUGUGGGGUAGAGGAGACCAUGUUCAGGUCUUUCAAACUCCAUCUUUGAGCCCAAGCUUGGCUUCUAAACUCCACACCCCCACCUUUCUACUAUCCAUGUUUAGAAUUGUUUUGUUGUUGUUUUUCAAGACAGAGUUUCUCUAGGUAACCUUGGUUGUCAUGGAACUCACUCUGUAGUCCAAGCUGGCCUUGAACUCAGAGAUCUACCUGCCUCUGCUUGGAUUAAAGGCAUGCACCACCAUCUUUCAACCUCUUUUUUCCCACUCUUAAUAGAUCACUAUGUAGCCCUGGCAGGUCUCGAACUCUGGCUUCUGCUUUCCAAGUACUGGAGUUAAAGGUGUGUGUCAUCACACCUGCCUUUCCCAGCCUAUUCGUCCUACAUAUGACCUUACUGAUAUACUCUGUACCCUACAGAUCUGAGCACAGGCAGAAUUUCUUUCAUAAGCAUAUCCUUGAGCACAUAUUGUUCUUUAACAGACAGACCAGUCCGGGCUUCUGACGGAGGAGGCCAUUCUAUAGGCCAUUGGAGGACCACAUUCUAAACAUCAGAUUCAUCCACAGGGCUGCUCAUCAGUACUCACCUGCAGAGCCUCACAGACCAGCUCCACAUCCAACACCUUCACCACAAACUCCAGGCAGAGCUGGGGACAGAAAUGAAGCGACCUGUGUGCCGGUGUCAAGACUCCAAGUCCUAUCCCAGAAACAAUGGAGCUUGGAGCAAUGACUCAUUCAGACUCCCAGCAGCCCCAGCGCCACCUUGAGCGCCCAGAUUUGGAAAACAGAUGCAAUUGUUCAGACCUGUAAUUUAGCAAGCCCAGAGGGCCUGGAGGCCAGCAAAGCACCUUCUGGUACACUUGUCUCUGGUAAAACUCAUCCAAAAA